CCUACGGGUGGCAGCAGUGAGGGAUAUUGGUCAAUGGGGAAACCCUGAACCAGCAACGCUGCGUGAGGGAAGACGGUUCUCGGAUUGUAAACCUCUGUCCUCUGUGAAGAUAAUGACGGUAGCAGAGGAGGAAGCUCCGGCUACCUACGGGCCAGCAGCCGCGGUAAUACGUAGGGAGCCAGCGUUGUCCGGGUUUAUUGGGUGUAAAGGGUGCGUAGGCGGCCUUGUAAGUCAGAAGUGAAAUCCAUGGGCUUAACCCGUGAACUGCCUUUGAAACUGUAGGGCUUGAGUGAAGUAGAGGCAGGCGGAAUUCGCGGUGUAGCGGUGAAAUGCUUAGAGAUCGGGAAGAACACCAAUGGCGAAGGCAGCCUGCUGGGCUUUAACUGACGCUGAAGCACGAAAGCGUGGGUAGCAAACAGGAUUAGAUACCCUGGUAGUC
rnacentral:rRNA from 1 species